CGCCUCCCCUUGUCCCUCCCUCCUUCCUCGCACUCCAUCAUGGCGAUGCAUAACAAGGCCACAGCGCCUCAGAUCCCAGAUACGCGCCGGGAACUAGCCGAGCUAGUGAAGCGGAAACAGGAGCUAGCGGAAACGCUGGCAAAUCUGGAACGCCAGAUCUAUGCGUUCGAAGGAAGUUACCUGGAAGAUACGCAGAUGUAUGGAAAUAUUAUCAGGGGUUGGGACCGUUACUUAACAAACCAAAAGAACUCAAACAGUAAAAAUGAUAGAAGGAAUAGAAAAUUCAAAGAAGCAGAAAGACUGUUCAGCAAAUCUUCAGUCACUUCAGCAGCGGCAGUGAGCGCGUUGGCUGGAGUACAAGACCAAAUGAUUGAUAAACGAGAACCAGGUAGUGGAACAGAAAGUGACAACUCUCCAGACUUUCAGAAUCAGGAAAAUGAGCCCAGCCAAGACGAUGCAGAAGAUCUAGAUGGCUCCCUGUCGGGUGUCAAGCCUCAGAAAGCAGCCUCAUCGACCAACUCCGGAGGACAUCAUAGCAGUCAUAAGAAACGCAAGAAUAAAAAUAGGCACAGUCUCAAUAUCUCCCGAUCAAGCACAGAGUGACGCCUGCGCUUCCUUGUUCAUGUGAUUGACCUCAAGCUAAACAAAAAGCCCAGAUCUGAUUAUUAAUGUGGCUUCGUCUUCAGCAUCAAGAAAAAAAAUUCAGCAGAAAAAUGAAUUAUUCAUCCAGAAUUUUUAUUUACCCAAGACUGGACUAAAACAUUUCC